ensembl:lncRNA
GAUCACUUUUUUCCUGCCUCUCCCUAAUGAUUGUUUCUUAAACAGCUACCAUUUGCAGUACUGUGUCCAGGCCUGGGGCCCCCAGUACAGGAAGAACGUGGAGCUCUUAGAGAGGGUCCAGAGGAGGGCCACUAAGAUGAUCAGAGGGCUGGAGCACCUCUCCUGUGAGGAAAGGUUGAGGGAACUGGGAUUGUUUAGUUUGGAGAAGAGAAGGCUCCGGGGAGACCUCAUUGUGGCCUUCCAGUACUUGAAGGGAGUAUAUAGACAGGAGGGGGAAUGGCUGUUUACAAGAGUGGAUAGGGAUAAGACAAGGGGUAAUGGUUUUAAAGUGAGACAGGGGAGGUUUAGGUUGGAUAUUAGGAGGAAGAUUUUCACACAGAGGUGGUGACGCACUGGAACAGGUUGCCCAAGGAGGUUGUGGAUGCCCCAUCCCUGGAGUCAUUCAAGGCCAGGCUGGAUGUGGCUCUGGGCAGCCUGGUCUGGUGGUUGGUGACCCUGCACAUGGCAGGAGGGUUGAAACUUGAUGAUCAUUGUGGUCCUUUUCAACCCAGGUCAUUAAAUGAUUCUGUGAUUCUAUGAAAGUCAGCCAGUUCCAAGCUUUAGACAAUAGUGCAAUCAACAAAAGUAGAUAAGAACAAC